UAAGCGACUAAGCGUACACGGUGGAUGCCCUGGCAGUCAGAGGCGAUGAAGGACGUGCUAAUCUGCGAUAAGCGUCGGUGAGGUGAUAUGAACCGUUAUAACCGGCGAUUUCCGAAUGGGGAAACCCAGUGUGUUUCGACACACUAUCAUUAACUGAAUCCAUAGGUUAAUGAGGCGAACCGGGGGAACUGAAACAUCUAAGUACCCCGAGGAAAAGAAAUCAACCGAGAUUCCCCCAGUAGCGGCGAGCGAACGGGGAGGAGCCCAGAGCCUGAAUCAGUGUGUGUGUUAGUGGAAGCGUCUGGAAAGGCGCGCGAUACAGGGUGACAGCCCCGUACACAAAAAUGCACAUAUUGUGAGCUCGAUGAGUAGGGCGGGACACGUGGUAUCCUGUCUGAAUAUGGGGGGACCAUCCUCCAAGGCUAAAUACUCCUGACUGACCGAUAGUGAACCAGUACCGUGAGGGAAAGGCGAAAAGAACCCCGGCGAGGGGAGUGAAAAAGAACCUGAAACCGUGUACGUACAAGCAGUGGGAGCCUCUUAAUGGGGUGACUGCGUACCUUUUGUAUAAUGGGUCAGCGACUUAUAUUCUGUAGCAAGGUUAACCGAAUAGGGGAGCCGAAGGGAAACCGAGUCUUAACUGGGCGUUAAGUUGCAGGGUAUAGACCCGAAACCCGGUGAUCUAGCCAUGGGCAGGUUGAAGGUUGGGUAACACUAACUGGAGGACCGAACCGACUAAUGUUGAAAAAUUAGCGGAUGACUUGUGGCUGGGGGUGAAAGGCCAAUCAAACCGGGAGAUAGCUGGUUCUCCCCGAAAGCUAUUUAGGUAGCGCCUCGUGAAUUCAUCUCCGGGGGUAGAGCACUGUUUCGGCAAGGGGGUCAUCCCGACUUACCAACCCGAUGCAAACUGCGAAUACCGGAGAAUGUUAUCACGGGAGACACACGGCGGGUGCUAACGUCCGUCGUGAAGAGGGAAACAACCCAGACCGCCAGCUAAGGUCCCAAAGUCAUGGUUAAGUGGGAAACGAUGUGGGAAGGCCCAGACAGCCAGGAUGUUGGCUUAGAAGCAGCCAUCAUUUAAAGAAAGCGUAAUAGCUCACUGGUCGAGUCGGCCUGCGCGGAAGAUGUAACGGGGCUAAACCAUGCACCGAAGCUGCGGCAGCGACACUAUGUGUUGUUGGGUAGGGGAGCGUUCUGUAAGCCUGUGAAGGUGGCCUGUGAGGGUUGCUGGAGGUAUCAGAAGUGCGAAUGCUGACAUAAGUAACGAUAAAGCGGGUGAAAAGCCCGCUCGCCGGAAGACCAAGGGUUCCUGUCCAACGUUAAUCGGGGCAGGGUGAGUCGACCCCUAAGGCGAGGCCGAAAGGCGUAGUCGAUGGGAAACAGGUUAAUAUUCCUGUACUUGGUGUUACUGCGAAGGGGGGACGGAGAAGGCUAUGUUGGCCGGGCGACGGUUGUCCCGGUUUAAGCGUGUAGGCUGGUUUUCCAGGCAAAUCCGGAAAAUCAAGGCUGAGGCGUGAUGACGAGGCACUACGGUGCUGAAGCGACAAAUGCCCUGCUUCCAGGAAAAGCCUCUAAGCAUCAGGUAACAUCAAAUCGUACCCCAAACCGACACAGGUGGUCAGGUAGAGAAUACCAAGGCGCUUGAGAGAACUCGGGUGAAGGAACUAGGCAAAAUGGUGCCGUAACUUCGGGAGAAGGCACGCUGAUAUGUAGGUGAAGCGACUUGCUCGUGGAGCUGAAAUCAGUCGAAGAUACCAGCUGGCUGCAACUGUUUAUUAAAAACACAGCACUGUGCAAACACGAAAGUGGACGUAUACGGUGUGACGCCUGCCCGGUGCCGGAAGGUUAAUUGAUGGGGUUAGCGGUAACGCGAAGCUCUUGAUCGAAGCCCCGGUAAACGGCGGCCGUAACUAUAACGGUCCUAAGGUAGCGAAAUUCCUUGUCGGGUAAGUUCCGACCUGCACGAAUGGCGUAAUGAUGGCCAGGCUGUCUCCACCCGAGACUCAGUGAAAUUGAACUCGCUGUGAAGAUGCAGUGUACCCGCGGCAAGACGGAAAGACCCCGUGAACCUUUACUAUAGCUUGACACUGAACAUUGAGCCUUGAUGUGUAGGAUAGGUGGGAGGCUUUGAAGUGUGGACGCCAGUCUGCAUGGAGCCGGCCUUGAAAUACCACCCUUUAAUGUUUGAUGUUCUAACGUUGGCCCGUAAUCCGGGUUGCGGACAGUGUCUGGUGGGUAGUUUGACUGGGGCGGUCUCCUCCUAAAGAGUAACGGAGGAGCACGAAGGUUGGCUAAUCCUGGUCGGACAUCAGGAGGUUAGUGCAAUGGCAUAAGCCAGCUUGACUGCGAGCGUGACGGCGCGAGCAGGUGCGAAAGCAGGUCAUAGUGAUCCGGUGGUUCUGAAUGGAAGGGCCAUCGCUCAACGGAUAAAAGGUACUCCGGGGAUAACAGGCUGAUACCGCCCAAGAGUUCAUAUCGACGGCGGUGUUUGGCACCUCGAUGUCGGCUCAUCACAUCCUGGGGCUGAAGUAGGUCCCAAGGGUAUGGCUGUUCGCCAUUUAAAGUGGUACGCGAGCUGGGUUUAGAACGUCGUGAGACAGUUCGGUCCCUAUCUGCCGUGGGCGCUGGAGAACUGAGGGGGGCUGCUCCUAGUACGAGAGGACCGGAGUGGACGCAUCACUGGUGUUCGGGUUGUCAUGCCAAUGGCACUGCCCGGUAGCUAAAUGCGGAAGAGAUAAGUGCUGAAAGCAUCUAAGCACGAAACUUGCCCCGAGAUGAGUUCUCCCUGACCCUUUAAGGGUCCUGAAGGAACGUUGAAGACGACGACGUUGAUAGGCCGGGUGUGUAAGCACAGCGAUGCGUUGAGCUAACCGGUACUAAUGAACCGUGAGGCUUAACCU
rnacentral:rRNA from 1 species